UACGGAGGGUGCAAGCGUUAUCCGGAUUCACUGGGCUUAAAGGGUGCGUAGGCGGGUGUGUAAGUCAGUGGUGAAAUCUUCGAGCUUAACUCGGAAACUGCCGUUGAUACUACAUGUCUUGAAUACCGUGGAGGUGAGCGGAAUAUGUCAUGUAGCGGUGAAAUGCUUAGAUAUGACAUAGAACACCAAUCGCGAAGGCAGCUCACUACACGAAUAUUGACUCUGAGGCACGAAAGCGUGGGGAUCAAACAGG
rnacentral:rRNA from 1 species